GUGUAGCUCAUAUUUUUUAAUUUUUAGUUUGGUUAAGUUAGAAAGGGCGCACGGUGGAUGCCUUGACACUAGGAGUCGAUGAAGGACGGGACUAACGCCGAUAUGCUUCGGGGAGCUGUAAGUAAGCUUUGAUCCGAAGAUUUCCGAAUGGGGAAACCCACCAUACGUAAUGGUAUGGUAUCCUUAUCUGAAUACAUAGGGUAAGGAAGACAGACCCAGGGAACUGAAACAUCUAAGUACCUGGAGGAAGAGAAAGCAAAUGCGAUUUCCUGAGUAGCGGCGAGCGAAACGGAACAUAGCCCAAACCAAGAGGCUUGCCUCUUGGGGUUGUAGGACAUUCUAUACGGAGUUACAAAGGAACGAGGUAGACGAAGCGACCUGGAAAGGUCCGUCGUAGAGGGUAACAACCCCGUAGUCGAAACUUCGUUCUCUCUUGAAUGUAUCCUGAGUACGGCGGAACACGUGAAAUUCCGUCGGAAUCUGGGAGGACCAUCUCCCAAGGCUAAAUACUCCCUAGUGAUCGAUAGUGAACCAGUACCGUGAGGGAAAGGUGAAAAGCACCCCGGAAGGGGAGUGAAAGAGAUCCUGAAACCGUGUGCCUACAAAUAGUCAGAGCCCGUUAACGGGUGAUGGCGUGCCUUUUGUAGAAUGAACCGGCGAGUUACGAUCCCGUGCGAGGUUAAGCUGAAGAGGCGGAGCCGCAGCGAAAGCGAGUCUGAAUAGGGCGUUUAGUACGUGGUCGUAGACCCGAAACCAGGUGAUCUACCCAUGUCCAGGGUGAAGUUCAGGUAACACUGAAUGGAGGCCCGAACCCACGCACGUUGAAAAGUGCGGGGAUGAGGUGUGGGUAGCGGAGAAAUUCCAAUCGAACCUGGAGAUAGCUGGUUCUCCCCGAAAUAGCUUUAGGGCUAGCCUUAAGUGUAAGAGUCUUGGAGGUAGAGCACUGAUUGGACUAGGGGUCCUCAUCGGAUUACCGAAUUCAGUCAAACUCCGAAUGCCAAUGACUUAUCCUUAGGAGUCAGACUGCGAGUGAUAAGAUCCGUAGUCAAAAGGGAAACAGCCCAGACCGCCAGCUAAGGUCCCAAAGUGUGUAUUAAGUGGAAAAGGAUGUGGAGUUGCUUAGACAACUAGGAUGUUGGCUUAGAAGCAGCCACCAUUUAAAGAGUGCGUAAUAGCUCACUAGUCGAGUGACUCUGCGCCGAAAAUGUACCGGGGCUAAAUACACCACCGAAGCUGCGGAUUGAUACCAAUGGUAUCAGUGGUAGGGGAGCGUUCUAAGGACAGUGAAGUCAGACCGGAAGGACUGGUGGAGUGCUUAGAAGUGAGAAUGCCGGUAUGAGUAGCGAAAGACGGGUGAGAAUCCCGUCCACCGAAUGCCUAAGGUUUCCUGAGGAAGGCUCGUCCGCUCAGGGUUAGUCAGGACCUAAGCCGAGGCCGACAGGCGUAGGCGAUGGACAACAGGUUGAUAUUCCUGUACCACCUCUUUAUCGUUUGAGCAAUGGAGGGACGCAGAAGGAUAGAAGAAGCGUGCGAUUGGUUGUGCACGUCCAAGCAGUUAGGCUGAUAAGUAGGCAAAUCCGCUUAUCGUGAAGGCUGAGCUGUGAUGGGGAAGCUCCUUAUGGAGCGAAGUCUUUGAUUCCCCGCUGCCAAGAAAAGCUUCUAGCGAGAUAAAAGGUGCCUGUACCGCAAACCGACACAGGUAGGCGAGGAGAGAAUCCUAAGGUGUGCGAGAGAACUCUGGUUAAGGAACUCGGCAAAAUGACCCCGUAACUUCGGGAGAAGGGGUGCUUUCUUAACGGAAAGCCGCAGUGAAUAGGCCCAAGCGACUGUUUAGCAAAAACACAGCUCUCUGCGAAGCCGUAAGGCGAAGUAUAGGGGGUGACACCUGCCCGGUGCUGGAAGGUUAAGGAGAGGGGUUAGCGUAAGCGAAGCUCUGAACUGAAGCCCCAGUAAACGGCGGCCGUAACUAUAACGGUCCUAAGGUAGCGAAAUUCCUUGUCGGGUAAGUUCCGACCCGCACGAAAGGUGUAACGAUUUGGGCACUGUCUCAACCAGAGACUCGGUGAAAUUAUAGUACCUGUGAAGAUGCAGGUUACCCGCGACAGGACGGAAAGACCCCGUGGAGCUUUACUGUAGCCUGAUAUUGAAUUUUGGUACAGUUUGUACAGGAUAGGCGGGAGCCAUUGAAACCGGAGCGCUAGCUUCGGUGGAGGCGCUGGUGGGAUACCGCCCUGACUGUAUUGAAAUUCUAACCUACGGGUCUUAUCGACCCGGGAGACAGUGUCAGGUGGGCAGUUUGACUGGGGCGGUCGCCUCCUAAAGUGUAACGGAGGCGCCCAAAGGUUCCCUCAGAAUGGUUGGAAAUCAUUCGUAGAGUGCAAAGGCAUAAGGGAGCUUGACUGCGAGACCUACAAGUCGAGCAGGGACGAAAGUCGGGCUUAGUGAUCCGGUGGUUCCGCAUGGAAGGGCCAUCGCUCAACGGAUAAAAGCUACCCCGGGGAUAACAGGCUUAUCUCCCCCAAGAGUCCACAUCGACGGGGAGGUUUGGCACCUCGAUGUCGGCUCAUCGCAUCCUGGGGCUGUAGUCGGUCCCAAGGGUUGGGCUGUUCGCCCAUUAAAGCGGUACGCGAGCUGGGUUCAGAACGUCGUGAGACAGUUCGGUCCCUAUCCGUCGUGGGCGUAGGAAAUUUGAGAGGAGCUGUCCUUAGUACGAGAGGACCGGGAUGGACGCACCGCUGGUGUACCAGUUGUUCUGCCAAGGGCAUAGCUGGGUAGCUAUGUGCGGAAGGGAUAAGUGCUGAAAGCAUCUAAGCAUGAAGCCCCCCUCAAGAUGAGAUUUCCCAUAGCGUAAGCUAGUAAGAUCCCUGAAAGAUGAUCAGGUUGAUAGGUUCGAGGUGGAAGCAUGGUGACAUGUGGAGCUGACGAAUACUAAUAGAUCGAGGACUUAACCAU
rnacentral:rRNA from 1 species